CCUACGGGAGGCAGCAGUGGGGAAUUUUGGACAAUGGGCGCAAGCCUGAUCCAGCCAUGCCGCGUGUGGGAAGAAGGCCUUCGGGUUGUAAACCACUUUUGUCAGGGAAGAAACGGCUUUUUCUAAUACAGAGAGCUAAUGACGGUACCUGAAGAAUAAGCACCGGCUAACUACGUGCCAGCAGCCGCGGUAAUACGUAGGGUGCAAGCGUUAAUCGGAAUUACUGGGCGUAAAGCGUGCGCAGGCGGCUUUGCAAGACAGAUGUGAAAUCCCCGGGCUCAACCUGGGAACUGCAUUUGUGACUGCAUGGCUAGAGUACGGUAGAGGGGGAUGGAAUUCCGCGUGUAGCAGUGAAAUGCGUAGAUAUGCGGAGGAACACCGAUGGCGAAGGCAAUCCCCUGGACCUGUACUGACGCUCAUGCACGAAAGCGUGGGGAGCAAACAGGAUUAGAUACCCUGGUAGUCCACGCCCUAAACGAUGUCAACUGGUUGUUGGACGGCUUGCUGUUCAGUACGAAGCUAACGCGUGAAGUUGACCGCCUGGGGAGGACGGCGCGAGUAGUAACGUAAAGUAAGUUAGUACGGCGUGAGACGUAGACCGACGGACGACGACGAGGGAGGAGGG
rnacentral:rRNA from 1 species